rnacentral:rRNA from 1 species
UACGUAGGGUGCAAGCGUUGUCCGGAUUUAUUGGGUUUAAAGGGUGCGUAGGCGGCCCGUUAAGUCCGGGGUGAAAGCCCACUGCUCAACCCCGGAACUGCCAUGGAUACUGACGGGCUUGAGUACAGACGAGGUAGGCGGAAUGGAUGGUGUAGCGGUGAAAUGCAUAGAUACCAUCCAGAACACCGAUUGCGUAGGCAGCUUACUAGGCUGUAACUGACGCUGAGGCACGAAAGCGUGGGGAGCGAACAGG